GUCAAGGCUGGUCAUGCUUUACCUUAGCACUUAACCUUAGUGUGCUAGAGUUCUUAAAGAAUAACUGCUGACUUUAUUUACUGAGUAUGGUACAGUCAGUCACCAGGUUAGUGACAUGC
rnacentral:snoRNA from 1 species